rnacentral:tRNA from 1 species
GGUAAGGUGUCCGAGUGGUUAUGGAGCUGCGUUUAGGUAUUUCCUAAGCAGAGAUCCGCAGUGGCGUUGCCUCGAGGGUUCGAAUCCCUCCCUUAUCA